GACGAACGCUGGCGGCGUGCUUAACACAUGCAAGUCGAACGCUGAAGCUUGGUGCUUGCACUGGGUGGAUGAGUGGCGAACGGGUGAGUAAUAAGUGAGUAACCUGCCCUUGACUCUGGGAUAAGCCUGGGAAACUGGGUCUAAUACUGGAUACGACAUGUCACCGCAUGGUGGUGUGUGGAAAGGGUUUUACUGGUUUUGGAUGGGCUCACGGCCUAUCAGCUUGUUGGUGGGGUAAUGGCUCACCAAGGCGACGACGGGUAGCCGGCCUGAGAGGGUGACCGGCCACACUGGGACUGAGACACGGCCCAGACUCCUACGGGAGGCAGCAGUGGGGAAUAUUGCACAAUGGGCGGAAGCCUGAUGCAGCGACGCCGCGUGAGGGAUGACGGCCUUCGGGGUGUAAACCUCUUUCAGCACGGAAGAAGCGAAAGUGACGGUACGUGCAGAAGAAGCGCCGGCUAACUACGUG
rnacentral:rRNA from 1 species